rnacentral:rRNA from 1 species
GGGAUUGCCUCAGUAACGGCGAGUGAAGCGGCAACAGCUCAAAUUUGAAAUCUGGCCCUUUCGGGGUCCGAGUUGUAAUUUGUAGAGAGUGCUUCGGGGGAGACCGCGGUCUAAGUCCAUUGGAACAUGGCGUCCCAGAGGGUGAGAAUCCCGUAUGUGACCGUGGCUCGAGCCCAUGUGAAGCCUCUUCGACGAGUCGAGUUGUUUGGGAAUGCAGCUCUAAAUGGGUGGUAAAUUUCAUCUAAAGCUAAAUAUUGGCUGGAGACCGAUAGCGCACAAGUAGAGUGAUCGAAAGAUGAAAAGCACUUUGGAAAGAGAGUUAAACAGUACGUGAAAUUGUUGAAAGGGAAGCGCUUGCAACCAGACCUGCCCGUAGGCGAUCACCCGCUGUUCUCAGCGGUGCACUCGUUCUGCGAUCAGGCCAGCAUCGGUUCUGGCGGUCGGAUAAAGGCCUUGGGAAUAUAGCUUCCCUUCGGGGGAGUCUUAUAGCCCUCGGUGCAAUGCGGCCAGCCGGGACCGAGGACCGCGCUUCGGCUAGGAUGCUGGCGUAAUGGUUGUAAGCGACCCGUCUUGAAACACGGACCAAGGAGUCUACCAUCUAUGCGAGUGUUUGGGUGUCAAACCCAUACGCGGAAUGAAAGUGAACGGAGGUGAGAACCCUUAAGGGCGCAUCAUCGACCGAUCCAGAUGUCUUCGGAUGGAUUUGAGUAUGAGCAUGGCUGGUGGGACCCGAAAGACAGUGAACUAUGCCUGAAUAGGGUGAAGCCAGAGGAAACUCUGGUGGAGGCUCGCAGCGGUUCUGACGUGCAAAUCGAUCGUCAAAUUUGGGUAUAGGGGCGAAAGACUAAUC